UACGUAGGGGGCAAACGUUAUCCGGAAUUACUGGGUGUAAAGGGUGAGUAGGCGGCAUGGUAAGCCAGAUGUGAAAGCCUUGGGCUUAACCCGAGGAUUGCAUUUGGAACUAUCAAGCUAGAGUACAGGAGAGGAAAGCGGAAUUCCUAGUGUAGCGGUGAAAUGCGUAGAUAUUAGGAAGAACACCAGUGGCGAAGGCGGCUUUCUGGACUGAAACUGACGCUGAGGCACGAAAGCGUGGGGAGCGAACAGG
rnacentral:rRNA from 1 species